CUGGAAAGGUAAUAAUCAAUAGAUUGCUUUACUCUCGGGUUAUUCUAAUAUGCAAGGACUAUACGGGUCUGUAGCUCAGGUGGUUAGAGCACCACACUGAUAAUGUAGGGGUCCGCAGUUCGAGUCGUACCAGGCCCACCAUUUAGGCUUAAGAUAUCUAGGAUUGAGUGAUCCGUUAUCAGUACUGUUAAGUUAUGAUCCUUACCAGAUCCACUCAAAGAUGGGGGGAUUAGCUCAGCUGGCAGAGCACCUGCUUUGCAAGCAGGAGGUCAUCGGUUCGAUCCCGUUCACCUCCACCAGAUCUUUUCGCAGUCUCAGAAUGAGUCGGCAGGAUGUCUUUUAAAUGAUUGGAAGAAGUGAAGUGUAGCGUGCUCCAAGAUGAGUUGCAUGGGUAGAUUGAUUGCAUGAACCCAUGCGAUGUGUCAGCAGCGUGUGAGGUUCGCACAAACGAGUUCGACCUGUGACCGGAUAUUUGGGUGACCGAGUGGUCUAAGGUUAUAG
rnacentral:misc_RNA from 1 species